ensembl:lncRNA
GUAGCUCAGUGGUUCCGGUGCCUGCCUCACAAGCUCAAGGUCCCAAGUUUGAUCCCCGGUACCAAAAAAAAUUGAAAUGGUUUUAAACAUGAAUGUAAAAAAAAACAAGUGUUUUUUAAAAUUAUUCUAGGAAAAGCUACAGAGUUGUUUAAAAGCAGAAAUUAUCUAUUAAUAAGCUGAGCUUCUCUGAUGAGUUAAAGGCCAAUGAAACAGUAAAAGGAAGUUUCAAUAAAAGUUUGUUUAUAGAAUGAAAAAUCAAAGUUCAAUUAUACAGAGCUUAAAACAGGUCAUUUCACAGUGGGAGAACACUUGUGGUGAUUCUUAUUUCAUCUGUCCUAACUUCCGCCCUGGGUACGGCACACCCGUUCCAUGUGUGCACCAGCCUCUCUCUCCAGCGACAGAGCUGCUAGCCCUGACCUUCCAUUCACCCACACUCACCCGCAGGCUUCCUAACCAUGCAAGGCUGUGCAUCCCAGAGUGGUUAUCCAAAUGCCAGACAUGAAGUCAGUUUAGUGACAGUUGACCAGUUCCUCUUAAUGACAAAGAAUAAAAAAUCUAAUGCAUCUGAGCUAACAAAGGCAGAUACUGUUUCAUGAAACGUGUGCGUAUGCACAUGUGUAAUUAUAACAUGUAUUCUACUAUGUAUGUGUGCAUAUGUAUAAAUAACAUGUCCUAUAAUAAUUAUAUAAGCCUAUAACUGUAUUACUAGGUCAUAAUAUAAAAUGUUUUUAUUAUGGGCCACAUUAAAAAAUAAAUUUGGAAGGGCUGGGGAUUUAGCUCAGUGGCGCUGCAUCUGCCCUGCAAGUGCAAGGUCCUGAGUUCGAUCCCCGGUACUGGAAAAAAAAAAUUGGAAGACAUUGGCUUAGAAAAACCUAAUACGAAAAGGCUUGUAAAGGAUCAUCCAGUGUUAACUAUCACAGUUGAUGCAGUUUAAUACAUGAAGAAACUGAGUCCUGUAGUAAGGCACUUGGAUUGAAUAAAUACCUUUGCCAACACUUUGGUGUCAUCCCAUGAAGCCCAGGCACUGUGCGCAUGAGGAGUUCGCCUGGUGGGCUUGAACUGGGAGGCUCCAUGCAGUCCAGGCCUUCCCAGCCCCUACACCCCCAGUCCCUGGAAGCAUGCCCUCUGGGAACUGCAGUAGGAGCACCCUACCAUGCAGCUAUUAGAGCUGACUCCAGCUCUGCCACUCAC